AUGAACGCUAGCUACAGGCUUAACACAUGCAAGUCGAGGGGCAUCAGGAAGAAAGCUUGCUUUCUUUGCUGGCGACCGGCGCACGGGUGAGUAACACGUAUCCAACCUGCCCUUUACUCGGGGAUAGCCUUUCGAAAGAAAGAUUAAUACCCGAUGGCAUAAUGAUUCCGCAUGGUUUCAUUAUUAAAGGAUUCCGGUAAAGGAUGGGGAUGCGUUCCAUUAGGUUGUUGGUGAGGUAACGGCUCACCAAGCCUUCGAUGGAUAGGGGUUCUGAGAGGAAGGUCCCCCACAUUGGAACUGAGACACGGUCCAAACUCCUACGGGAGGCAGCAGUGAGGAAUAUUGGUCAAUGGGCGGUAGCCUGAACCAGCCAAGUAGCGUGAAGGAUGAAGGCUCUAUGGGUCGUAAACUUCUUUUAUAUAAGAAUAAAGUGCAGUAUGUAUACUGUUUUGUAUGUAUUAUAUGAAUAAGGAUCGGCUAACUCCGUGCCAGCAGCCGCGGUAAUACGGAGGAUCCGAGCGUUAUCCGGAUUUAUUGGGUUUAAAGGGAGCGUAGGUGGACUGGUAAGUCAGUUGUGAAAGUUUGCGGCUCAACCGUAAAAUUGCAGUUGAUACUGUCAGUCUUGAGUACAGUAGAGGUGGGCGGAAUUCGUGGUGUAGCGGUGAAAUGCUUAGAUAUCACGAAGAACUCCGAUUGCGAAGGCAGCUCACUGGACUGCAACUGACACUGAUGCUCGAAAGUGUGGGUAUCAAACAGGAUUAGAUACCCUGGUAGUCCACACAGUAAACGAUGAAUACUCGCUGUUUGCGAUAUACAGUAAGCGGCCAAGCGAAAGCAUUAAGUAUUCCACCUGGGGAGUACGCCGGCAACGGUGAAACUCAAAGGAAUUGACGGGGGCCCGCACAAGCGGAGGAACAUGUGGUUUAAUUCGAUGAUACGCGAGGAACCUUACCCGGGCUUAAAUUGCAGUGGAAUGAUGUGGAAACAUGUCAGUGAGCAUUCACCGCUGUGAAGGUGCUGCAUGGUUGUCGUCAGCUCGUGCCGUGAGGUGUCGGCUUAAGUGCCAUAACGAGCGCAACCCUUAUCUUCAGUUACUAACAGGUUAUGCUGAGGACUCUGGAGAGACUGCCGUCGUAAGAUGUGAGGAAGGUGGGGAUGACGUCAAAUCAGCACGGCCCUUACGUCCGGGGCUACACACGUGUUACAAUGGGGGGUACAGAAGGCAGCUAGCGGGUGACCGUAUGCUAAUCCCAAAAUCCUCUCUCAGUUCGGAUCGAAGUCUGCAACCCGACUUCGUGAAGCUGGAUUCGCUAGUAAUCGCGCAUCAGCCACGGCGCGGUGAAUACGUUCCCGGGCCUUGUACACACCGCCCGUCAAGCCAUGGGAGCCGGGGGUACCUGAAGUACGUAACCGCAAGGAUCGUCCUAGGGUAAAACUGGUGACUGGGGCU
rnacentral:rRNA from 1 species